GACGAACGCUGGCGGCGUGCUUAACACAUGCAAGUCGAACGGAAAGGCCCUGCUUUUGUGGGGUGCUCGAGUGGCGAACGGGUGAGUAACACGUGAGUAACCUGCCCUUGACUUUGGGAUAACUUCAGGAAACUGGGGCUAAUACCGGAUAGGAGCUCCUGCUGCAUGGUGGGGGUUGGAAAGUUUCGGCGGUUGGGGAUGGACUCGCGGCUUUCAGCUUGUUGGUGGGGUAGUGGCUUACCAAGGCUUUGACGGGUAGCCGGCCUGAGAGGGUGACCGGCCACAUUGGGACUGAGAUACGGCCCAGACUCCUACGGGAGGCAGCAGUGGGGAAUAUUGCACAAUGGGCGGAAGCCUGAUGCAGCAACGCCGCGUGCGGGAUGACGGCCUUCGGGUUGUAAACCGCUUUCGCCUGUGACGAAGCGUGAGUGGCGGUAAUGGGUAAAGAAGCACCGGCUAACUACGUG
rnacentral:rRNA from 1 species